rnacentral:misc_RNA from 1 species
UGGUUGCUAUUGCUAGCUCUUGAGAAUUAUAUUAAGUUGAAGAAGUUGCAGGGCAACUCUCCUUUGGCGGAUCAUCAAAAAAAUAGAGCAACUAAGUUACCAUCUAUCAUAUAUGAUAAUCCGUGCCAGAGGAGAGAAGCCCUACAACUAGUUCACUUACUCUUGUAGCUUGCACACAGAGGUGCAGGCAAUGAAGCAGGAGCUUUAUAGGGGCCUUCCUGGAAGGAAUAAGCUGUUGAAGAAAUAGCAUAUGCCUUAUGGAUAUCCUUUAUAGUGCCUGCUUUCUACGCAUUCCAUGCAAUGCGUUUCCUUUUAUCUGAUAAAGGGCUACAACUAAUAUUUGAGAGAUUCUACUUUGCAUGAUUUAGACCCAACCCCUGUAUGUUUUUUUGUUCAUCUUUUUUCUCUCUCUUUAUUGCUUCCCUGUCCAUGUAUUGGAGGUGGUGAAGGGAGCGGGAAGAAAAAAGCAGUGAUGAAGAAGGAGAUGCCUUCUUUUGCCUAAGUGAAGGUGGCAGCAGCAAAGUCUGGGCCUGUAGGUAUAUCCUUUGUCAUAUUCCAUGAGGGAUUAUAUGAGCAACCCUUGGAUUAGAUUUUUAUCUUUGUCCACUCAGAAUUAUUCCCUUCGACUUUAAUAUAAAUUGAUAAUUGAAUAAAUAUAAAUUAGUAAAAAACCCUAGCACUAGUCUUUGAAGUGGCAAGGCGAAGGAAGGACACAUAGUAAUUGAA